rnacentral:rRNA from 1 species
UACGUAGGGUGCGAGCGUGUCCGGAAUUAUUGGGCGUAAAGAGCUUGUAGGCGGUCUGUCGCGUCUGCUGUGAAAAUCCGGGGCUCAACCCCGGGGAGGCGGGCGGAUACUGCCGGGCUAGAGUCCGGAAGAGGCGGAGUGGAAUUCCUGGUGUAGCGGUGAAAUGCGCAGAUAUCAGGAGGAACACCCGUGGCGAAGGCGGUUCUCUGGGACGGUACUGACGC